rnacentral:rRNA from 1 species
AGUGAACGCUGGCGGUAGGCCUAACACAUGCAAGUCGAACGGAAGCACAGUAAGAGCUUGCUCUUACGGGUGGCGAGUGGCGGACGGGUGAGGAAUACAUCGGAAUCUACUUUUUCGUGGGGGAUAACGUAGGGAAACUUACGCUAAUACCGAAUACGACCUACGGGUGAAAGCAGGGGAUCUUCGGACCUUGCGCGAUUGAAUGAGCCGAUGUCGGAUUAGCUAGUUGGCGGGGUAAAGGCCCACCAAGGCGACGAUCCGUAGCUGGUCUGAGAGGAUGAUCAGCCACACUGGAACUGAGACACGGUCCAGACUCCUACGGGAGGCAGCAGUGGGGAAUAUUGGACAAUGGGCGCAAGCCUGAUCCAGCCAUACCGCGUGGGUGAAGAAGGCCUUCGGGUUGUAAAGCCCUUUUGUUGGGAAAGAAAAGCAGCAGGUUAAUACCCCGCUGUUCUGACGGUACCCAAAGAAUAAGCACCGGCUAACUUCGUG